ensembl:snoRNA U8 U8 small nucleolar RNA
UUGUCAGGUGGGAUAAUCCUUACCUCUGUUUGGAGGACAGUAUUAGGACAUAGUGAUUGGAGUCACAUGGUAUGAUUAAUGUCUGCUUCAUAAUCAGGUCUCACACACCCUGAUUGCUCCUAUCUGAU